UACGGAGGGGGCUAGCGUUGUUCGGAAUCACUGGGCGUAAAGGGUGCGUAGGCGGGUCUUAAGUCAGGGGUGAAAUCCUGGAGCUCAACUCCAGAACUGCCUUUGAUACUGAGGAGCUUGAGUCCGGGAGAGGUGAGUGGAACUGCGAGUGUAGAGGUGAAAUUCGUAGAUAUUCGCAAGAACACCAGUGGCGAAGGCGGCUCACUGGCCCGAUACUGACGCUGAGGUGCGAAAGCGUGGGGAGCGAACAGG
rnacentral:rRNA from 1 species